rnacentral:misc_RNA from 1 species
GUGAGUCAUCGAAUCUUUGAACGCACCUUGCGCCCUCUGGUAUUCCGGAGGGCAUGCCUGUUUGAGUGUCAUGUAGACUCAAUCCCUCGGGUUUCCGAGGAGAUUGGACUUGGGUGUUGCCGCUCUGCCGGCUCGCCUUAAAAGACUUAGCGGGAUAGCACCGUAGUCGGCGUAAUAAGUUUCGUCGGUGAAGGUUGUGAUGACUGCUUACAAUCGCCCUUGGGCAAUUUUUGACUCUGACCUCAAAUCAGGUAGGACUACCCGCUGAACUUAAGCAUAUCAAUAAGCGGAGGA